rnacentral:pre_miRNA from 1 species
GGGAAGUAUGAUCCCGCGCUCCCUGGGAGGUGUGAUCCCGUGCUUCCCGGGAGGUGUGAUCCCGCGCUCCCC